CUAUCUUAUUUAUGUUUAUCAGGUUUUCGAGUUAAAAGUUGACAUUAAUUUUACAAUAUAAUUGAAUGAAAGUAAUUUUCUCUAUCAUAGUGACACCUAGAAAAGAAUAGAUAAAUAGUUUAUUCGUGUGGGGUCUGGUAAAUGGCCGUAAAACGUUUGAUACUUUUGUGUUUUCGUAGUGUGGUGUGUGUAUGAAAUGGCACAUUUUCCACCCAAUUUUUAUAUCUCAGAGCAUAGAAACAUUUAGCUGCUGUGUAUGUGAUAUUAUUUGAUUUAAAGUUCUUGUUUUUUUAUUAGUGUAACGCAAAACUUGACUUCGUCUAAUUUAGACUCGCGUUCCGAAUGGAAUCUACACAUCCUACGUAAAUGCUAAAGAAACUUAAGCCUUUUUAGUCUAGUCGGCCUACGGCUACGACUCGAGCUGUGGCCCUUAUUUAACCAAGUACAGUUGGGUUUGGAAGUUACCGAAGGAAGACACCAUAUUUACAUGCUAGUAUGGCCCAAGAUAUUGACAUAGCAAGUCUACCUCCAGAUGUCAGAGACAAGCUUGCUGAGUUGGAACUGGAACUCUCAGAAGGAUUUGCAUUUAGAAUGAACAUCUGAAGUUUGAUGGAACUACUACUGUAUCUUUGACCUUGCCUUUUGACCCUAAAGUAUUUUGUAUGUGAAAUAUGUAAAGGUAUUUCUAUUUUUGUAGUUGAGUGGUAUGAAUUUAGUAUUAAAACAUCAAGCUUUGACCAUUUAUUACAAAUUCAUGAGGUGUUUUCAAAUGUAAAUGUACCAUUUAAUAACCAUAUAAAGAAAUAAAGGCUUA